UUUUUUUUUCUUCCUGCGGGACCGCAUCUAUUGUGAAGAAGGUGUGAAUAAGGCGGUAGAGAAAAAAGAGAUAGUCACUAAUAGUUCAGCCCUUAAGCUGCAACCAAGAGAAACUAGAUUUUUAUAGUUCUUGAUGGCUCUGAUACAGAGCACUUUUGAGGAAAAACCAUCAGAGUGCCUAUGUACAAGAGGGCUAAUUAAGCCUUUCAUUCCCUAACUUUUAAAUGUUUGAUUUUGCAACGUUAAUGUUCUUUUAAUGUCUUUUGUAUGCAACAUACAUCUAUAAAAUUUAAGUUUAUUUUUAAAAAUUGAUAUAGCACUGGCUUUUAAUGAAAUAAAUGUUUAAAUAUGCACCCUUAAUAUUCUUGAUAGAAUUUUUAAAUGAGAUUCUGUAUUCAAUAGUGUCACUCUUUAACCACCUUAUAUAAACAUGCCUUCUCCUUUGUCUAACAAAUUGCAAGAGUAGGUUAUUAGUCUCUAAGAUAUCAUUGGCUGUUAUUGUAUUUUUUUUCAUCCUGGGUAUCAGAAUUCGUAAUCCUGUUCAGAUAUUCAGUAAUAUGUGCCAGUUGCAGCUUAUUGGCCUUACAGACUUGUGAAGGAUGCAGUCACUUAUCUUGCUAUUCACUGUCUUGAUAGAUCUGUUACCAUGAUGACACCCAGGCACUGCCCUUGUGGAAGGAGAUUUUAAUUUUCGAUGAAUACAAUCCGUAAGGUGCAGAUGGUUAAAAACACCUUUGUCACUGUGUGAUUAUUUGCUUAGAUUCUAAAAGUGCUGCAAUGCAGUGAGGAGACAUAUGUGCAGUAAGCUGAAUUUGAAGUUUCCAUCAGUUUUGUGGGGAGUAAAGAAAACUCAGACAAGAACCUCAUGCUGCUAAGAUGAUCGACAAUAAAAACAGAAAGGCUCUCUUUUCUGCUGUAGCCCUGACAGAGCAGGUUUUGAAGGUAUUGUCAGAAAAACUGAAAAACUGGAAUGGCAGAAAAUUGAAUCAGUUGACUUUUUUUGAAGAGCUAAGUGUGUGGCAGGAAGUAGAGAAUUGUACAUUUCAGCAUUUUUGGAAGAAAGACAAUGCCACGGUCAUUUCAUUCUUGCACCAAAAUAAAGAAAAUUAUUCUUGUUAUGGAACACUGAUGACUGAAUUGCCUAAGUGCUACAGACCCAUGCCUUCCCAACCUGUUUGCUGAUACAUUCAGAAACUCUAAUACGUCUGAGUGUUUUAUGAAAUUCUUGUAUUGGUGUUUUAAAAGUGACUGGGAAAAUGAUUUGCACAUGUAUACCCAUACUGGAUCUUCACAUGCAGUUUGUUCAGCACUUGAUUUGUAACUGGAUGAGUCAGAUACCUCCAGACAGAAACCAUCCACAAGUUUAGUGACUUCCAGCCUUGGCUUUAACCACUGUAUCAUUUGUAUGACAUAGCAAAUCCAUGGCCUUGAUUUUUUUUUCUGAACAGCAAAGAGCCUUGUAAUUUACAGGCUAGAACAAAGAAUGAGAAAUAAGAAUCCUGUCUUGUAACCUGGCUGAGCCAGUGACUCACUGUGACAAGCUGGCAAAUUGACAUUGCUCAACCAAGCAAGAAAACUGACUAAUAAACAGUGAGAAGUGUUUGUAGUUCUAUUUCCU
ensembl:lncRNA